CGGGGUGAGUAAUGUCUGGGAAACUGCCUGAUGGAGGGGGAUAACUACUGGAAACGGUAGCUAAUACCGCAUAAUGUCUACGGACCAAAGCGGGGGACCUCCGGGCCUCGCGCCAUCAGAUGAACCCAUAUGGGAUUAGCUAGUAGGUGAGGUAACGGCUUACCUAGGCGACGAUCCCUAGCUGGUCUGAGAGGAUGAUCAGCCACACUGGGACUGAGACACGGCCCAG
rnacentral:rRNA from 1 species